CGUCUCCUCAACACAACUCUUUCCCUUUUACCUCUGUAAAUUAGCUCCCCGAUGGAAAUGAACACAGCUGCAAUAGCCAACAACAUACCAAAUAGUGCAAAGUGGGGUCUUCUUGGGGAGGAAGCCUGAUCACAAGCAGCUGACAAGAUCUCUAGGACAAGGUAAGUGGCUAAAAAUAUCCACUCUACUGAUGCUGAAGUAGGCCUCAUCCCUGGAACUCAAGGAGGGUCUGUAAAGAUUACUACUAGGUGUUAAAGAUGGGUCAGAAGAAGACUGAUCUCCACGAGGAGUAUUUGUAAACUAGGAAACCAAGCCAGUGCUUUUCUUUGAGACAUAUACCUCUGGUUGGUUGCUGAGAAAGCAGAGGAAUUUAUAUAGAAAAAGAAAGGAACUUUCGAAGAUGGAUCCUCUGUUUUCUUUCUUUAAUUAUCUGAUUUACAUCCCGCCUAAACUGAAAACAAUGAGAAGAAGAUGGCCCACAUGGUGUCAUGGGUUUAGUGGAGAAGAGGUUCUAGUGAGGUAGUGUUUUUGCUGUUGCUUACUGGUUCAUUUGGAAAUGGAGGUGUUGUUCUAUCUUUGAGCCUCAGUUCCAAAUGCCUUGUCGUCCUAAUCAGAGUAUUGUUGAGUAUCUUCUGGAAUGGGAUAAGGCUAAUAAUCUUUUAAAGAAGGCUACCUCUCAAACUCAGAUGUUUCUUGCUUGGCAGCCUCCUCCUUGUGGCUUCUCUAAGCUUAAUAUUGAUGGUUCUAGAGUGAGUGCCUCUGGGUGCAUUGCUGCAGGAGGUAUAAUUAGGAAUUCUGAGGGUAGCUGUAUAGCAGGAUUUUCUGCUAAUCUUGGUCAUGGUGAAGUCUUGGUAGCUGAAGCUUGGGCUUUAUAUUAUGGUCUUAAUCUUGCUUGGUAGAUGGGUUUGCGCCAGAUAACUCUUAAUUCUGAUUCUGGCCUUGUUGUUGAUAUGAUUAAUGGAUAAUGGGUGGACUCUCAUCCUAUGUCUGUGUUGCUUACCAAGUGCAGAGAGCUUUUGAAAAGCCAGUGGAAUUGCAGCAUUCUCCAUGUCUAUAGGGAGACCAAUUUUACUGCUGAUUUUCUAGCUAAGAUGGGUCAUCAUAAGGAGUUGGGUUACCAUGAGCUCUCUUCUCCCCUUGAUAUGAUGCAGCCUAUUUUAGAUGAUGAUAAGAAUGGUCUGUUGAGGCAUGGAUUUGUUUCUGUGUAAUCUUUUUGUUCUAGGCUUUGCCCCCUAUUUUACCAACAAAAAAGAAAAAGAAAAAAAGAAAACAACCUUGUCAAAGCCUUUUAAGGUAUGAUACCUAUCCUACAUCUCACCUAUAGCGUAGACUUGACUAAAAUUCACAAAAAAUGUAACGGUAUGACCAAUUUGCCGAUUAAUAUAAAGUUGGUGGACCAUUUGAACGAAUAGUUUAAUUGAGAGACCAAAAUGCAAAUCGGGUAUAAGUUUGAGAACUAUUUGAGUAAAUAACCCUAAAGAAUCAUCUGUUUUAGUACAUUUAUUUCUCAAGGGCAUUAAGGAACUUUCAAAAAUUUACCCUUCUUUUGUCUUAUUGGUAAGAAGAUAACAAAAGCGAUUGAUGAAAAAACAUUUAUGAUAGAUUAUGGAUCCUAAAACCCAGAAAUUAUGGAUCCUAUUUUAGCUUAGUCUCAAUCUUUUAAAUGUUUCCAUUUUUUAACCCUUUUGGAAAUAUUAAAUUUGUUACGUUCCACAUCAAUUUCUUCGUUACAUGCCACUAUGUGACAAAUGUAGUUCUUAUCUCUCACAAUAUUUACAGAAAUUUGAUGUUUUAAUUAGGAAAUCUACUUUCCUUUUUUUCAUUAUGAAAAAUUUGACUUUUGUUUCAAGGGUGAUGUGUCAACUUUAAAUCCUUUGGAUUGAAAUUUAAAUGAUGUGGCGUGUGGGGAAUGAAAGUCUAGCAUAUCCUAGUAGAGAAAUUCAAAGUAGAGGAUCGGAAUUCUGUUUUGCUUAUGAUUAAUUUGAUCGGUACCUGAUUCUCAUCCCCAUGGGAGCACCCAUCCAUUAAGAGACAUAAUAUAAUCAUGAAUUAAAAGUGAUUAAUAGAUUCAAUUAAUAAUAGGAAGCUUUCAUUUUAAUAAAAUAUAUAUUUUACUAAUUUGGAAGAUAGGAAUACAAUUUCACCUAAUUAGCAGAGGGUCAAACACCAAAAAGUAGUACCUAAUUUUAUAAUAAUGUAAUUAAAAAAAUAUCAAAAUUACACAAAAUGCCACUACUACGAAGUCAUGCCACAUGUCCACCUCCGUCAAUCUUCCUUUGGCCGCAACUGCUGCGGCAGGUCCAGAUACUGCAGAUGUGGCAGUUGAGGUAGAUGCGGGAGCAGCUGCAGUCCCAGCUCCAGAUACCGCAGCUGUGACAGGUCCAGAUACCGCAGCUGUGACAGGUCCAGAUACCGCAGCUGUGACAGGUCCAGAUACUGCAGCUUCUUCAGAUACCGCAUGUCCAACUGCGGCUCCAGCAGCGGCUCCAUCACUUGUUGCUGGUAACCAACUAUAUUGUCCUCAACCUUUAAAAAAAGAAGAAAUUUAGUGUGCAUGAAGGAACUCAAACCUUGACCCUCAAAUGAGGAAAGCCUCAUUCACAAACCACUUCACCAACCUCGUUUUUGUGGUAUUUUUUCAGUUAUGCAAUAUUUAUAUUAACAGUCAAUGGUUUUUUUUUCUUAAUAAAGAAAAUUAUUUCACAUAUGGGCCUCCUCUUUGGCCUAAUUCAAAACAAAAUUUGAUUCAUAGAUAUUAAAAUCCAAACAGAAUUACUCUGUCUCAAAUCCUAAUUAGUUGUUAUGUCUAAUACCUAAUUUUUGUUUAUUGUAUUCAAUCCCAAUGUGGCCUUCCCAAAGUGGGCUCCAAAUUGACAUUCCGUGAUACAUAUGGGACUUCAUCAUCUUCAUCACGUAGGCCUUCAUAUGAGACUUCAUAACUUAAGCCUUUUGGAUACAUCAUGCGCUCCCGAAACAAAAGAUAUGUAUAUGUAUAUGAUAUGUAUACAAAUACAAUGAAUAAAUAAAAGAUAAAUUUCACUUUACUAUCCAGAGAAAGAUAGAAACAUAAUUUCCUUUAUUUUGUUCAGUUAUUCCCAUGAUAUAUAUACAAAUGACAACUUUGAAUAUUUCAAGGUUAUAUAUGUGCGUGUCUAUAUAUAUAUAUGUUCUAUAUAUGUUCUAUAUAUAUAUGUAUGUAUGUAUGUAUGAAUGUUUUAGAAAUAAUUUACUUUAAAUCGUAAUUAAAUUAAUACCUCUACCUCCUGAUUAUCGACAAAUGGUAUAUUGGCAGGUGCAUAAUACUCCUGGAUUGGAUGCAACGAAGUUUCUUCCACGCUACAUACCAACAGAUGGAGAGAAUAUUUUCCAUUAGUGGAAUGGAAGUCAUGCAUACAUAUGAAAAAGCAAACAGAGAAAAGAAAGCAAUCUUUUAUGACUGUCUUGUUUAUUAAAGAUAGAGAGCCAGCUUAAUUAGCCACUCUCUCUCUAUCCGCUCACACUUUAGUAUUUACAUUUUGUGCUUAUUGAAAUAAAGUAGAAUUCCCAUGUGAUAUGAUAUCCAAUAAAAUCUCCCUUAAUUAUUUCUUAAAAUUUCCAUCUCGUCUCCUUCUAAAAAUAAAUAAAUAAAUAAAUAAAGAAGAAGAAGCCUUCCUUUUGUAUUAUCUCAGACUAAAAAGCUGCAAAAAGAUUUAAUAUGCAAAUUAAUUAAGCAGCAUAUGAGCAGUGUAAUUCGUGUUUACCUUGAAGUAUUGGCGUUCAUUCGCUUAUUACUUAGUCUUGAACCAACUAAACAGAUAAGAAAUAUGGCAGGCAAAAGGGAUGCUUUGAAAGGACUAUCAGCAUGCCGAAGGCAGUAAACAUACUGAACUAUAGAGCAAAUGCACUGUGAGAUGCCAGCAACUACUCCAUAAAUGUCAGGAAGAGUACCAAAAGGCGCAUGUCGAGGAGGUGGUGGAUGAUAAAACCACCAGAGCAUUCCCCGUCUCCUCAACACAACUCUUUCCCUUUUACCUCUGUAAACUAGCUCCCCGAUGGAAAUGAACACAGCUGCAAUUGCCAACAGCAUCCCAAAUAGUGCAAAGUGGGGUCUUCUUGGGGAGGAAGCCUGAUCACAAGCAGCUGACAACAUCUCUAGGCCAAGGUUAGUGGCUAAAAAUAUCCACUCUGCUGAUUCUGAAGUGGGCCUCAUCCCUGGAACUCAAGGAGGGUCUGUAAUGAUUACUACUAGGUGUUAAAGAUGGGUCAGAAGAAGACUAAUCUCCACGACGAGUAUUUGCAAACCAGGAAACCAGUUGUUGCUCUCUCAAUUUCCACAGCUAAUAAGCCAGUGCUUUUCUUUGAGACAUAAACACCUCUGUUUGGUUACUGAGAAAA
rnacentral:lncRNA from 1 species